AGAGUUUGAUCCUGGCUCAGAUUGAACGCUGGCGGCAUGCCUUACACAUGCAAGUCGAACGGCAGCGCGGGGCAACCUGGCGGCGAGUGGCGAACGGGUGAGUAAUAUAUCGGAACGUACCCUGGAGUGGGGGAUAACGUAGCGAAAGUUACGCUAAUACCGCAUACGAUCUAAGGAUGAAAGCAGGGGACCGCAAGGCCUUGUGCUCCUGGAGCGGCCGAUAUCUGAUUAGCUAGUUGGUGGGGUAAAGGCCCACCAAGGCAUCGAUCAGUAGCUGGUCUGAGAGGACGACCAGCCACACUGGAACUGAGACACGGUCCAGACUCCUACGGGAGGCAGCAGUGGGGAAUUUUGGACAAUGGGCGCAAGCCUGAUCCAGCAAUGCCGCGUGAGUGAAGAAGGCCUUCGGGUUGUAAAGCUCUUUUGUCAGGGAAGAAACGGCCUGUUCUAAUACAGUGGGCUAAUGACGGUACCUGAAGAAUAAGCACCGGCUAACUACGUGCCAGCAGCCGCGGUAAUACGUAGGGUGCAAGCGUUAAUCGGAAUUACUGGGCGUAAAGCGUGCGCAGGCGGUUUUGUAAGUCUGUCGUGAAAUCCCCGGGCUCAACCUGGGAAUGGCGAUGGAGACUGCAAGGCUAGAGUUUGGCAGAGGGGGGUAGAAUUCCACGUGUAGCAGUGAAAUGCGUAGAUAUGUGGAGGAACACCGAUGGCGAAGGCAGCCCCCUGGGUCAAAACUGACGCUCAUGCACGAAAGCGUGGGGACAAACAGGAUUAGAUACCCUGGUAGUCCACGCCCUAAACGAUGUCUACUAGUUGUCGGGUCUUAAUUGACUUGGUAACGCAGCUAACGCGUGAAGUAGACCGCCUGGGGAGUACGGUCGCAAGAUUAAAACUCAAAGGAAUUGACGGGGACCCGCACAAGCGGUGGAUGAUGUGGAUUAAUUCGAUGCAACGCGAAAAACCUUACCUACCCUUGACAUGGAAGGAAUCCCGGAGAGAUUUGGGAGUGCCCGAAAGGGAACCUUUACACAGGUGCUGCAUGGCUGUCGUCAGCUCGUGUCGUGAGAUGUUGGGUUAAGUCCCGCAACGAGUGCAACCCUUGUCAUUAGUUGCUACGAAAGAGCACUCUAAUGAGACUGCCGGUGACAAACCGGAGGAAGGUGGGGAUGACGUCAAGUCCUCAUGGCCCUUAUGGGUAGGGCUUCACACGUCAUACAAUGGUACAUACAGAGGGCCGCCAACCCGCGAGGGGGAGCUAAUCCCAGAAAGUGUAUCGUAGUCCGGAUUGUAGUCUGCAACUCGACUGCAUGAAGUUGGAAUCGCUAGUAAUCGCGGAUCAGCAUGUCGCGGUGAAUACGUUCCCGGGUCUUGUAGACACCGCCCGUCACACCAUGGGAGUUGAUUGCACCAGAAGUAGGUAGCCUAACCGCAAGGAGGGCGCUUACCACGGUGUGGUCAAUGACUG
rnacentral:rRNA from 1 species